rnacentral:rRNA from 1 species
CAGUAGCCGCGAGAAUACGAAGGGUGCAAGCGUUAAUCGGAAUUACUGGGCGUAAAGCGUGCGUAGGCGGUUUGUUAAGUCUGUUGUGAAAUCCCCGGGCUCAACCUGGGAAUGGCAAUGGAUACUGGCAAGCUAGAGUGUGUCAGAGGAUGGUGGAAUUCCCGGUGUAGCGGUGAAAUGCGUAGAGAUCGGGAGGAACAUCAGUGGCGAAGGCGGCCAUCUGGGACAACACUGACGCUGAGGCACGAAAGCGUGGGGAGCAAACAGGAUUAGAUACCCCCGUAGUCCCUGUCUCUUAUAU